CCCAAACAUUAAAGAGAAGUGACUUUUGGUCUUUGGCCUUUGAUGAGUUAGAGGCAACGAUUGCUAAUCAGUGCUUUCAGCUCAUCGCUGCACUUGCAGCUUCACAGGGCAAAGAUGUGUUUGCUGUCAACAGUUAUGUGGUGGUCACGUGGUUGCCUCCAUAUAACAAUGAUCCUCGGCCAGCUUUACCUGAUGAUGCUGCAACCAAGGACUUC